rnacentral:rRNA from 1 species
GAUGUCGACUUGGAGGUUGUGCCUUGAGCGUGGCUUCCGGAGCUAACGCGUUAAGUCGACCGCCUGGGGAGUACGGCCGCAAGGUUAAAACUCAAAUGAAUUGACGGGGGCCCGCACAAGCGGUGGAGCAUGUGGUUUAAUUCGAUGCAACGCGAAGAACCUUACCUGGCCUUGACAUCCAGAGAACUUAGCAGAGAUGCUUUGGUGCCUUCGGGAACUCUGAGACAGGUGCUGCAUGGCUGUCGUCAGCUCGUGUUGUGAAAUGUUGGGUUAAGUCCCGCAACGAGCGCAACCCUUAUCCUUUGUUGCCAGCGGUUCGGCCGGGAACUCAAAGGAGACUGCCGGUGAUAAACCGGAGGAAGGUGGGGAUGACGUCAAGUCAUCAUGGCCCUUACGGCCAGGGCUACACACGUGCUACAAUGGCGCAUACAAAGAGAAGCGACCUCGCGAGAGCAAGCGGACCUCAUAAAGUGCGUCGUAGUCCGGAUUGGAGUCUGCAACUCGACUCCAUGAAGUCGGAAUCGCUAGUAAUCGUAGAUCAGAAUGCUACGGUGAAUACGUUCCCGGGCCUUGUACACACCGCCCGUCACACCAUGGGAGUGGGUUGCAAAAGAAGUAGGUAGCUUAACCUCCGGGAGGGCGCUUACCACUUUGUGAUUCAUGACUGGGGUGAAGUCGUAACAAGGUAACCAAGGGCGAAUUCCAG